CUCACCAGCCCCAAAAUGAAGGCUGAGGGGACAGAGCUACAGACCUGGGCAACAGUCCGGUAACAACAGCACCCUGCUCCUGGGGCAGGGUGAGGGGCGUCCCUACCUGAGAAGUUUAAUUGGUGAGCCCAAGGAAAGAGGGUGGAGGCAAACAAAACAGUACAUUCAUCACUUGUUAAAUAUUCUAUCGAACAUUUGCUCUGGAUUAAGUAGAGGAAAACAAAGAAGAAAACCAAAAUCACUAUUCACAACAAGGAGGUGGUAUUCUCACACACAUCGGAGGAACAUAAAAAAAAAUCUGUUGAGAUAAAACAAGUAUGACUGUGCUAUCCCUGAAUACUGCUCACAGACAUCACCAAAUGUGGAGCCAAGGUUUUUCUUGCCUUGCAUUUACAAGGUGAAAACUUGUUUUAAAAUGAGCAACUUAAAAUACCCUAUGACCAUCACAUGAUUCACCCAGAUGUAAGCUGAUCACUUGGAGCUUGUGUUUGUGGGUGUUUAAAGUAAGAAUGACAAAAGUAGAAACAGCUUGCCAUGGACAUUCACUUAUGUGAUCAGAAGAAUUGGAUCUUAUUCCCUUUUACCUUUUUUCCCUAACAAAUGUAAAAUAAAUAUCUUUUUUGGAACAUGA